rnacentral:rRNA from 1 species
UCGGAGAGUUUGAUCCUGGCUCAGGACGAACGCUGGCGGCGUGCCUAAUACAUGCAAGUCGAGCGAACAGAAGGGAGCUUGCUCCCGGAUGUUAGCGGCGGACGGGUGAGUAACACGUGGGUAACCUGCCUGUAAGACUGGGGUAACUCCGGGAAACCGGAGCUAAUACCGGAUAGUUCCUUGAACCGCAUGGUUCAAGGAUGAAAGACGGUUUCGGCUGUCACUUACAGAUGG